GCCAGCUGAGACAGCAUGAUCCAGAGGGACUAUGGUGCCUCAUGGGAGACUUUAACAGUAUUAGACACCACUCUGAGAGAGAAGGGGUGGCUCACAGGGGUUUGGAAGCAAACAAUAUAAGCGAAUUUAAUGAGUGGCUUGCAGAUCUUGAGGUAGAAGAAAUACCUAGUGUGGGAAAUACUCUUUAGCAUUAUCACUUCUGAAAAUUUUGAUUGUUUUUCCAAAUUGAUUCUCAAUCUCAUUAUAGAAUGACACGAAUAUAGGCAAAAGUUCAGAUCUUUCUUUCAUUAAAUAAACCCAAGUACAUCUGGAGAAUUCAUCAAUAAAGGUUACAAAAUAUAGAAAACCAAAAGAUGUGACACGACUUGGUCCCCAAAUAUCAGAAUGAAUGGUAGAAAAAGCCGAGUCACAUCUUUGUACAGUUUGAGGAAAUGACGACCUGACAUGUUUUCCUAGUUGAAAAGACUCACAAUCUAAGACUCGAAGAUUCUUAAGACCAGGAACCAUAAUCUUCAAUUUUGAUAAACUUGGGUGACCCAGACGAUCAUGCAAAAGUUUGGGUCUCGAGAUAGCAAAACAAGACCCAGGUGGACUGGAUUCCAAGUAAUAAAGCCCUCGUGAUUCAUGUCCUUCUCCAAUCAGUCGCCCCGUCCCAUGUUCCUGAAUAACAAAAGAAUUGGCAGUAAAGGUUACUGAACAAUUUAACGAACGAGUUAAUUGACUUAAUGAGAUUAGAUUAUAGGGACACUGAGGAAGAAAUAAAACAGAAUUUAAUUUCAAAGAGGGAGACAAUGAAACUUGACCACUUCCUUGAGAAGCUACCUUGGAGCCAUUAGCUACAGUAACGAGGUGAGGAAUUUUUGGAAGAGAAAAGGAUGAGAAGGAGGACUUAUUACCAGAAAUAUGAUCAGAGGCACCUGAGUCGAGUAUCCAAGGGCUGUGACCCUCAAUGGAUUGAGAGAUACACGCUGUUGAAAAACAUGGUACAGACGAGGGUUGAGCUUGGUUGCUAGGCUUCUCUGAUUUGAGCUUCAAGUACUCCUGAUACUCCUCAUCAGAGAAUCUGGACUCUGCUUUCUCUGAUUUAGAAACCUGUGCGACCUUGUCGGGAAACCCAUGUAAUGAAUAGCAAGUCUCUUGGGUGUGACCUAUCCUCUUGCAAUAGGUGCAAUGAGGACGUCCACCCCUUCCACUGCGACCUCCUCGACUAUUGCGGCCGCUUCCUCUCCCUCUAGAUGCAACCAUGGCUGACGUCUCCACUCCAUCAGUAGGAUUCUCAUCCUUCAGUAAAUAAGGCACACGGAGAAGUCUGGUGAUGAGAGAAUCCAUUGAUGGAAUUUGGUCCCCAGCAAGCACUUGAUCACGCACAUGAUCAAAGUCUGAAUGUAAGCUCCUCAAAAUAAGAACCAUGUAGAACUUGUCAAGUUUCCUAUUCACUUCUUCCAAUGAAUCAGCUACAAGGAACUUUCUUAGUUCUUCCACGGCAGCCCGAGCCUUACCCACAUGAGCGAUCAUGUCAUGACCGGUUUGCUUGAGGGCUGUAACUUUCAUAGUUGCAUCAAACAAGCUUUGGAUAUCAUUGGCAAAGAUUUCCUGGGCUUUCUUCCAAAAAGAACGGCAUGAUUUAAAAGAUCGGAGAAUCUCCAAGAUGUCUGACUCAACUGAUUGCCAUAACACGGCACAUAAUUGAUAGUCAAGCUUCUCCCAUUCAGCUCUUUUAUCAUCUGAAACAGAAUCGGAGGUUUUCUCCAAGUGGUCAUGGUGUCCUUGACCAAGGAACCACAACUCCACAGAAGCAGACCAUGAAGGAUAGUUUUUCCAGUUCAGCUUGGCAGUGGUGAUGGUUGGGGUCCCGGAAAAGGAAAAAACAGGUCCAGAGGAGGCCAUUUAAGAGGAAAAACAGCAAACCCUAACACACAAGAGAGGCAAACACACAAGGGCUGACCAAAUGACUUGCCGGAAGCGGGAUUUGAAGCCUGAAACAGGUCCAGGAGGUGACGGCGAGGCUGCCGGGACCGGAAGGGACAGCUCCCGACGCCAGUACGGCGGCGCGUGAGCAGCACGCGCCGGAAAUCGCGCGGAGGAAAGGCGACGCGUGUGGGCGCGUGCGGCGGCCUACGGCGACGCGAGUUCCAGGGGUGGAUCGCGCUUUUCGAGGCGAUCCGAACCCUGGUCUCACCGGAGAAAACCACCGGAGUUGACGGCGGCCGGCGGUGGCGGACGGCGGACGGCGCGGCGGGGACGGCGGCAACCCGCUCUGAUGCCAAGUUGAAGGAGACCAGAAUAAAGCUUUCUUCCCUUACUUUAUUGAAUUCAAAAUAGUACAUAUAUAUAGAGUACAAAAGAUAGGGAGAGAAGAGAGAGAGAGGCUAUGACAGUGACAAUGCACUGUUGCCCUCUGAAAAAUGCUACCAACUAAGUUACUACAAAUGGCUAAACUACAAGGAUAUUCAACAAGAAGAAAUACCUAGUGUGGGGAGAAGAUUUACAUGGUUUAAACCAAACGGAAGGAGCAAACUAGACAGAGUUUUUGUCUCUCACGAAUGGCUCAUCAAAUGGCCAGGCUGCACCCAAUUCAUCUU
rnacentral:lncRNA from 1 species